rnacentral:ncRNA from 1 species
AAACAAAAUCAGUCACUCAUAUAAUUUCAGGAAUAGGGCCUGAUAGUUUCUACCAAAUAACCGUAAAUUGUUUGACUAUGGGUGAAAGAAUCUUU